rnacentral:other from 16 species
GUUGACCUUACAGCAAAUCUUACAAUUUCAUCCUAAGAAAAAAUACAGUCAACUG